CAUUAUUUCAUAAGGGAUAAAUGGAAAUGACGUGAGUCAAAAGCGCUUUUCAUUGUUUACCUUCAUCAUGAAUGUUAAAACCUAAGCAUUUCAGAGUCAGAGAUGUAUGAUAUAUGCGCAAAAGGAAUCUAAAAAUUUUGUCAAGUUCAUAUAAAAGGUCAAUUUUGACAGAAGGAGUUUACUUAUAAUUCAUUGAUAAAUUCUUAAAAGAGAGGCGAAAGCUACCAAAGGAAUAUUCAAACACGUAUGUCGUCAAACAAACAACGCAAUUGCAAAAAAGAGGAAAAAACGACCAAAACACAAACGACGUUAUAAAACACAACAUACAAAACUAAUGUCAAAGCAAUUCGAACUACAUCGAAAAUCCAGGG
rnacentral:lncRNA from 1 species